AGCGAACGCUGGCGGCAGGCUUAACACAUGCAAGUCGAGCGGGCAUCCUUGUGGUGUCAGCUGCAGGCGGGUGCGUAACGCGUGGGAACGUGCCCUUCGGUUCGGAAUAACUCUGGGAAACUUGAGCUAAUACCGGAUACGUGCGAGAGCAGCAAGGUUUCUCUGCCUAAGGAGCGGCCCGCGUCUGAUUAGCUAGUUGGUGAGGUUAUGGAUCACCAAGGCGACGAUCAGUAGCUGGUCUGAGAGGAUGAUCAGCCACACUGGGACUGAGACACGGCGGAGAAUACUAGGGGAGGGAGCAAAGGGGAAUAUAGGAAAAUGGGGGGAGCGCAGAACGAGCCAUGCUGGGUGAGCGAUGAUGGUGGGAAAGAAGAAAAGCAGUUUACUACGGGACGGUAAUGACGGUACCGAAGGAAUAAGCACCGGCUAACUUCGUG
rnacentral:rRNA from 1 species